ensembl:lncRNA
GUUUGAGCUGAGCAGGUUUUUGGGGAGCACAGAGGUUUGAGCUGAGCAGUUUUUGGGGAGCACAGAGGUUUGAGCUGAGCAGUUUUUGGGGAGCAGAGGUUUGAGCUGAGCCCAGCUCUAGGCUGGAUAACAACAACCUCUAAAAGCUUCUAUCGGUUCCUGUCAGCCCAGCCCAGCCCUGGUUGGGUUUUUCUCCUGCCUCAGCCCCUCUGGAGCAUCCUGAUGUUUGCUGAUGGCACAGGAAGGGUUAAACCUCCCAGCCCCAGUGUUAAUGAUCCCGAACAGAGUCAUUACACUCCUCACAAAGGCAGAUCUAAUCUGUCACAUCUUUAUCUUUGCCUUUACCCUGUUUGUUCAUCCUCCAGCCCAGGAGAUGCUGGUGGAGCUCGGCAAAAACCUCACCAGGAAAUCUGGGGGUGCUUGGAGGGCGAGAGCACGGCCAAAACCAGAUCCCAGGGGUUUGAAAAAAUGGGCUCUCCUUCAUUUUACCAAAUCUCCCCUGCAGGAGCCUCCAGGUGAAGCUGAUUUUUUGCUUUAAACGAGGCUUCCAGGUGUGUUUGAGGAGGUUCUGGAUGCACUGGGGCUGUGUGAGCCUUUCCUAAAAAGGGUUUGGUGCCUUCCCUGCCAAGACCCCAAAGCCUCUGGGGGAAAGUUUAGUUCAGAAUUCAGUGCAGCAGGUCCCUGAUGGCUCAGGAGCUAUUUUGGGUCUGCUGAAAGGCAUGAGGAUGCUGGAAUUAAGUGUUAUUAUCCUCAUCCUUCAAAUCUGUCAUGCAGCUCUGCUCAGAGUUGGGUGUUUCAUUGGGUUUGGGAUGUGCUGCUUGCUGGGGCCCCCCCUUCCCUGGGGCAAUCCCAGCAGAGUCCAGAGGAUUCCUGCAGUCCCUGGCUGCUUCUGCUGCUGGAUUUUCACACGCAGCUGAAAAUUUGAGGCAGCAUCAGGGCAGGGUGGAGUCCCCAUGCUGCAGGGGUUUGAAGUGUGGAUGUGGCACUUGGGGACAUCAGAGGUGGCCUGGGCAGGACUGGGGUGGUUGGGCUUGGUGUUCCUUGGGGGCUUUUCCACCCAGAAUUAUUUUAUUUUGUGAUUCUGUUAUCUUGUGAUUCUGUGAUUUUGUGACUCUGUGAUUUGUGAUUCUGUUAUCUUGUGACUCUGUGAUUUUGUGACUCUGUGAUCUUGUGAUUCAUCUUAUGAUUCUGUGAUUUUGUGAUUCCCUUAUCUUAUGAUUCUAUGAUUCUGUGAUUCAUGAUUCUAUGAUUUUGUGAUUCUCUUAUCUUGUGAUUCUAUGAUUUUAUUAUUCUGUGAUUUUGUGAUUCUGUUAUCUUGUGAUUCUGCAAUUUUGUGAUUCUCUUAUCCUGUGAUUCUGCUAUCGUGUGAUUCUCUGUGAGCUUUGCUUUUGUCUUGGAGCUGCUGGAUCCCCAGGAGUGGAAUUCUCAGGGUGUCCCCAAGCACACGUGGGUGGGGUUUUGGGGGGUUUUUUUGGGUCCUGUGACUUCCAGGAGCUCCUGCUUCUUCUGGACCACAGCCAGGCAGGAAUUCCCUGCUGGGAUGGGGACAGCAGCAGGGAGAGGAGGAAUCCAAACCCAGCUGCUCCUGCAGCUCCUGCUCCUCCACUGCUCUGCCUGACUCUGCUAAAUCAUUACUGAAUAGGAUAAUGAGCCUUAAUCAGCCUCAUCUCCUCUCCCUCCAGGCUUCAUCUGCUCAGGAGCCUCUGUCUGCACAGGGAACAGCUCCAUCCUCCCCUGGGGGAUCCCAUGGGUGCAGGGGGGUCCCUUGGGAGCAGGGAGAGGAGGGCAGAGGCUGCAGGAGUUAAUGAAUAAUCCAGGGGAAGAGCUGCUGGGCCAUUACUCAGCUCUGAGAGGAGCCUGCCAAUACUUGGGGUGUAAAAGAUGAUCAGGGAGGGAGGAUGGGGGAGCCAGGGCUGUAAUUCCAACCUGGAAAUGCCAUCUCCAUUGGAUUUUAUUUUUUUUUUUUCUUGUCUGCUGGGUACAGGUUUGGUGAUUUUUUUUGUUUGUUUUUUUGUUUUUUUGUUGUUUUUUUUUUGCUCCUGAGUACAGAGAAAAUCAAUAAAGCCUCAUGUGAUGGGCAGAGCAUCCCUUGGAUUUAAACAAACAGUGGCUAAAGUGCCCUUUAAAAGCCUUUCCAUGGGUGCCAGUGCUGACCCCUCAUCCCACAGAACCAGCACAGCCAAAAUCCCUCUCUGAGCUCCAGGAUUUUGUGGCUCUCACUUUUUUUUUUUUUUUUUUUUUUUUUUUUGGGGGGGGGGGGGGGGGGGGGGGGGGGGGGUUUUUUUUUUUUUUUUUUUUUUUUUUUUGGGAAUAAUUUGGGCUCUGCUUUGCUCUGCCCCGAGGCUCCCCUCAGCAGGGUGAGGAUCUGCAGAUCUCAGAGCAGCAGUCAGGAUGCUCCUGGAGGGAGCUGAGCCCCCCGACCCCCUCCAAACAGAAUUUCUUGGUGCUCCUGCCCUUUUCUGGCUGUGCAGCUCAUGGCUCCAGGGCUCUUUGGGAAUAUGGGUCGGGACUGGAUGUUUUGUACAGUGAAUUUUGGGCUAUUUUGGGUAAGAACUCUUGGGAAGGCUUUGAGAGCUGGAUAAACAGCCCUGAGGAUCCCUCCUGCCCAGAGCUGGUGCCUGGCUCAGAAUGUGCCUUCAGGAUGAAUAUUUUGCCUUCUAAAUCCAUACAAAUCCCAUUUUUGGGAGGGAAAGCUGGAAAUUGUGCAUGGAUGGGGGGGGGGGGGGGGGGGGGGGGGGGGGGGGGGGGGGGGGGGGGGGGGGGGGGGGGGGGGGGGGGGGGG